AGUUGGCAUCUCAUAUUUUGGGUGUCGGUAGGUAUUUAAGUGGUAUUUAAGUUCUUCAUCUGUUGGGUCUUGUGUGUCAAAAAUAUUAGCUUAUGGUAUGUUAGUAUGUUAGUUGGCAUCUCAUAUUUUGGGUGUCGGUAGGUAUUUAAGUUCACCCCUGAAAUUAUUUGAGUGCUUUUUUUUAUGGUAUGUUAGUUGGCAUCUCAUAUUUUGGGUGUCGGUAUGUAUUUAAGUGCUUCAUCUGUUGGGUCUUGCGUGUCGAAACUAUUAGCACUAUUAGCUUUGGGUGUUGCUUUUUCUGAUGGUAUGUUAGUUGGCAUCUCAUAUUUUGGGUGUCAGUAUGUAUUUAAGUGCUUCAUCUAUUGGGUCACGGUUGGGUAUUGGGUCACGGCUUGAGGUUUGAACCCACGACCUCUUGGCUGCAGGUGCAACUCUCUUACCACUUCGGCUGCUCUUACGGGCAAGUGCUUUUUCUUAUGGUGCAAAAUCUUCUUCAGCAAAUGGAGGUUCUGAACAAGAAGAGAUUAUGAUGAAGCCGUGACUUGUUCAUUUUAUGAUUUAUGAACUUCUAGUUAUGAAACUUGUGUUGUUGGAUAUUGUAUUAUAAACUUAUAGUAUUGUCAUUUUAUGGUUAUUAAGUAUAUCUUUUACAACA